rnacentral:rRNA from 1 species
GCGGCGUGCUUAACACAUGCAAGUCGAACGGAAAGGCCCUGCUUUUGUGGGGUGCUCGAGUGGCGAACGGGUGAGUAACACGUGAGUAACCUGCCCUUGACUUUGGGAUAACUUCAGGAAACUGGGGCUAAUACCGGAUAGGAGCUCCUGCUGCAUGGUGGGGGUUGGAAAGUUUCGGCGGUUGGGGAUGGACUCGCGGCUUAUCAGCUUGUUGGUGGGGUAGUGGCUUACCAAGGCUUUGACGGGUAGCCGGCCUGAGAGGGUGACCGGCCACAUUGGGACUGAGAUACGGCCCAGACUCCUACGGGAGGCAGCAGUGGGGAAUAUUGCACAAUGGGCGGAAGCCUGAUGCAGCAACGCCGCGUGCGGGAUGACGGCCUUCGGGUUGUAAACCGCUUUCGCCUGUGACGAAGCGUGAGUGACGGUAAUGGGUAAAGAAGCACCGGCUAACUACGUGCCAGCAGCCGCGGUGAUACGUAGGGUGCGAGCGUUGUCCGGAUUUAUUGGGCGUAAAGGGCUCGUAGGUGGUUGAUCGCGUCGGAAGUGUAAUCUUGGGGCUUAACCCUGAGCGUGCUUUCGAUACGGGUUGACUUGAGGAAGGUAGGGGAGAAUGGAAUUCCUGGUGGAGCGGUGGAAUGCGCAGAUAUCAGGAGGAACACCAGUGGCGAAGGCGGUUCUCUGGGCCUUUCCUGACGCUGAGGAGCGAAAGCGUGGGGAGCGAACAGGCUUAGAUACCCUGGUAGUCCACGCUGUAAACGGUGGGUACUAGGUGUGGGGUCCAUUCCACGGGUUCCGUGCCGUAGCUAACGCUUUAAGUACCCCGCCUGGGGAGUACGGCCGCAAGGCUAAAACUCAAAGGAAUUGACGGGGCCCCGCACAAGCGGCGGAGCAUGCGGAUUAAUUCGAUGCAACGCGUAGAACCUUACCUGGGUUUGACAUGGAUCGGGAGUGCUCAGAGAUGGGUGUGCCUCUUUUGGGGUCGGUUCACAGGUGGUGCAUGGCUGUCGUCAGCUCGUGUCGUGAGAUGUUGGGUUAAGUCCCGCAACGAGCGCAACCCUUGUUCACUGUUGCCAGCACGUUAUGGUGGGGACUCAGUGGAGACCGCCGGGGUCAACUCGGAGGAAGGUGGGGAUGACGUCAAGUCAUCAUGCCCCUUAUGUCCAGGGCUUCACGCAUGCUACAAUGGCUGGUACAGAGAGUGGCGAGCCUGUGAGGGUGAGCGAAUCUCGGAAAGCCGGUCUCAGUUCGGAUUGGGGUCUGCAACUCGACCUCAUGAAGUCGGAGUCGCUAGUAAUCGCAGAUCAGCAACGCUGCGGUGAAUACGUUCCCGGGGCUUGUACACACCGCCCGUCAAGUCAUGAAAGUUGGUAACACCCGAAGCCGGUGGCCUAACCGUUGUGGGGGAGCCGUCGAAGGUGGGACUGGUGAUUAGGACUAAGU